CGAGUUGGUAGAAUGCGACCGAACACAGCGUGGAAUGGUGCGAUCGCACCUCUCGGCCGUCGAGUUCCCGUGUUCGCGAAUCUUGAAGCAGAACGCUUCCCCGAGUUCCUCCUCCAACUUGACGACGACGACGAGAAAAAGCGGUUGCUCUAGUGAUUCUUUCCCACCGGUUUCGUACGAUUUCUCCUGUUCGAUCGAUCGAUCAUCACUUCCGCCGUUCAUGGUCAAUCCUUUUUGGGUUCCUUCAAAACCCUAGUUGGGAUCGGCCGCCAGCGAUGUUUGUGUGGCGAGAUAAAGCUUGGAUUGGGAUCGGAGAAUCUAUUUUGAUUCCUGUCGAUUGAGAGAAUUUUGAUUUGUUUUUGAAUCGGUCUCGAAGAUUAUCCGAUCAAGUGGCACCUACUUUCUUGCUGGUUUUUCCAGGGGUUGGAUUGCUGCCUUUGGUGGCGGAAUUGGGUCGAUGGAUUUGGUUGCCAGUUGCAGGGAUAAGUUGGCAUGCUUUAGAAUAAAAGAGCUGAAGGAUGUUCUGACUCAACUAGGUCUCGUAAAGCAAGGAAAGAAGCAGGACCUUGUGGACAGGAUUUUGCAACUGCUUUCAGAUGAACAAGUUCCCAAGUCACAGGUUUGGGGAAAAAGAAAUUCCUUCUGGAAAGAUGAAGUGGCUAAAAUAAUCGAUGAUGCUUACAGGAGGAAGAUUCUAGUUCCUGGUGCCACAGACUUAGCAUCCAAGAGUGGUAUUGUCACAGAUUACAAUCAGGUGAAGCCUAAAGAGGAAAUUGAUGAUUAUCGUUUGGAAAUGAAGGUUCGCUGUCCCUGUGGGAACUCAUUUAGUACUGAUUCAAUUAUUCAGUGUGAGGAUCCUGGGUGUCAAGUGUGGCAGCACAUAAGUUGUAUAAUUAUACCCGAGGGAACUUUGGAGGGUCCUUCACCUGAACUUCCAACUCGUUUUUAUUGUGAAUUAUGCAGAAUCAGUAGGGCUGAUCCGUUCUGGUUGACAGUGGAGCACCCGUUGCUUCCUGUAAAGUUGACAUCUUCUGGAAUAAUUGGCGAUGGCACAAACACAUUACAAAAUGUGGAAAGGAUAUUUCAAUUGUCAAGAGCAGAUAGAGAAUUGUUCCAGAGAGCUGACUAUGAUCUCCAGGUUUGGUGUCUACUACUCAAAGAUAAGGUUCCAUUUAGGAUGCAGUGGCCGCAAUUUGCAGAGUUGAAAGUUAACGGAGUUGCAGUCCAAGUGGUUGCUAGACAAGGGUCACAGUUAUUGGGUAUAAAUGGUCGGGAUGAUGGUCCAGUGAUAACCACGUGUACCAAGGAAGGCAGUAACAAAAUUUGUUUAUCAUGGCGUGAUGCUCGAGUAUUCUGUUUUGGAAUCAGACUUGCAAAGAGGCAGUCAAUACAACAGGUUCUUAGUUUAGUGCCCAAGGAAGCAGAUGGUGAGUGCUUUGAAGACGCUCUUGCUCGUGUUUGUCGCUGCAUUGGUGGUGGAACUGCUACAGAAAAUGCUGAUAGCGAUAGUGAUUUAGAAGUGGUAGCUGAUUCUGUUACAAUCAAUCUCCGUUGUCCUAUGAGUGGUUCUCGGAUGAGGAUAGCUGGCAGGUUUAAAUCUUGUAUUCAUAUGGGGUGUUUCGACCUGGAAACAUUUGUGGAACUUAAUCAACAAUCUCGGAAGUGGCAAUGUCCUAUUUGUCUCAAAAACUAUUCCCUUGAAAACAUUAUCAUCGACCCAUAUUUCAAUCGCAUCACUUCAUUGUUGCAUAAUUGUGGAGAUGUAAAUGAAAUUGAUGUAAAACCUGAUGGUUCUUGGCGCAUUAAGAAUGAAGAAUUUAGUGAUCUAUCUAAGUGGCAUCUGCCUGAUGGUUCACUUUGUGCUGAUACAUGUGCAGAGGUGAAGCCUGACCUGGAGAAACUAAAGGAGAUUAAGCAGGAAAUUACUUCAGAGGUGCAUAGAAAUUUGAAAUUAAAGCGAAACAGACGGGGAUUUUGGGAAGUCGGUAAACCUGACGAUAUGAGGCUUCAAACCUCUCAGAAUCAUGUCCUCAGUAAGCUUAAAGAUCAUUGUCAGAUCAUUCCUAUGAACAGUAGUGCAACCUGUAGUUAUAGAGCUGUGGAAGACCCAAGUGUCAAUCAAGAGGCAGGGCAUUUUGGUUCAUCUUUAAACAGUAUCCAUGAGCUAAAUUCUCUGGUUUUCAAUUUUGAUCCAACAUAUAAUGUUGAUAAUAGAGUUCAACCUGCACCAUCGAAUACACCAGAUGUUAUUGUCCUCAGUGAUUCUGAUGAAGAUAAUCAUACACCACUUUCUCCUAAAACCGCCCAUGACACUUGUCUGGCUGGUGGUGGUGAAAUCCCUUUUCCUAGCCAUCUUGAAGUUUCAGAAAGAAUCAUUGUAGAUGCUGAUCUUGAGAUGUACAGUGGUUUUUGCGCUGGUUUGUUUGACAAUAAUACUGAUGACUUUGACAUUCCAAGCCCUAGCUUCCAACUAUUUGGGUCAAAUGCUGAAGUACAAGAUCCUUUUGUUGAUUCACAUACUUCUCUUGACCGUGCACUAACUGAUGCCUAUGGCUUAGCAUCCAAUGGUGGUUUUGGGGACACUUCAAGAAUUCAUGAUCUUUCUGCUGGUCAUACGAGUAUUGAAAUACAUGAAAGCAUGGUUGAUAAUCCCUUGGCAUUUGCUAGUGAUGACCCAUCUCUUCAAAUUUUUCUUCCUACUCGACCAGCUGGAAUUCCUCUGCAGGAUGAGUUGAAUGACCGCAAUGAAGUGCCAAAUGAGGUCACCUCUGAUGAUUGGAUAUCGCUUACCCUUGCUAUUGGUGGAGAUGAUGGUAAAUCUGCCCCUGUUAAGAGACCAAGGUCAGAGCAGAAAUUCACACCAAAGGAGAGGAUGGAACCAUUAGAUGAAUCUGCUUCUUUACUUUUGAGCAUAAAUUAUAACAGAGUUGAUAAAGUUCAUUCAAAGAAUCAAAGAUCUGAGAAUCCAUUUUCACAUCCCCGACAGCCACGGUCUGCUAGGCCUCGAUUGUAUCUGCCAAUAUAUACUGACUCUGAUUAGUCAUCUAAUGAAGAUUCAGAUCAUGGUUUUUUUUUCUGUAGAAAAGGACUAAUAGUUGGAUCUACACCUUUUUCUGUUGAUUGGAUAAUAUCAUUCUUAUUUAUACACAAAGCAAUUACAGGCAAUAUUUAUUUUGCCAUGAGUUAGAUAAGUUCCUAUUCCUGAUCACAGUAGCAAGUGGCUUCCAAUCAUGCCAAGUUUCCUGCCUACUGAUCCUUGCGGAACUUCCUGUUUUUUCUAUCUGAAUUGCAGAACCAAUGUGGUUGCAUGCUGCAAAUUGUACAAUACGAUUCUGUGUUGACGGGAGCCUUUCUGAGUUGUAAGUCAAAUUAGUGGUUUGACUUAUAUGCUGUUAUUGAUUCUAAAUUUAGUUGAUUUUUGUGGUCCUUAAUUUUUGGUGUCUAUGAAGAAAAUGCAGCAUAAGCCUUCAGAAAUUGGUGGACAGAAAAGCCAUGCAAUUAGUGCCAUGAUAUGGUUUCCGAUGAUUGGUGUGUUUGAUUCAUGUCAGGAUUCACCUUCAUCAAAGACUUGUGCAAGGUCAUGAGGAUCAUCCCCUUCCCUUACCUGUAGUGAUUAGAUGGAUGACUGCUUCACUCACAACUUGCAGUCCUUUCACAUGUAUAUAUGUUGCUUUUAUCAUAUUCCACAUGGACUUCUAUACAUGCUUAACAUUGUUGAAAUUAGGGCCUUGCUUGCUUUCACAUCUGGGUGUCACUGCCUUAAGGAUCUUUUUCGUGAAAGACAGCUGUUUAUAUACCUUCAGAGGCAGAGCCUUUGGUUUUGAAGGUACUUCUAAACCUGAUUAGAAAGAGAAAUUUAGUGCUGCA